GUGUCAGCAGCCGCGGUAACACGUAGGGGACGAGCGUUGUCCGGAAUCAUUGGGCGUAAAGCGCGCGUAGGCGGCCCGGAAAGUCGGAUGUGAAAUCCCGGGGCUCAACCCCGGGCCUGCAUCCGAUACUCCCGGGCUGGAGGCAGGUAGGGGAGAUCGGAAUUCCUGGUGUAGCGGUGAAAUGCGCAGAUAUCAGGAGGAACACCGGUGGCGAAGGCGGAUCUCUGGGCCUUGCCUGACGCUGAGGCGCGAAAGCUAGGGGAGCGAACAGGAUUAGAUACCCCAGUAGUCC
rnacentral:rRNA from 1 species